CCCUUAGAUGUUCUGGGCCGCACGCGCGCUACACUGUUCGACGCAGCGAGUCUUAACCUUGACCGAAAGGUUUGGGUAAUCUUCAGCAAAGUCGAACGUGAUGGGGAUCGAUCAUUGCAAUUAUUGAUCGUGAACGAGGAAUUCCUAGUAAGUGCAAGUCAUCAGCUUGCGCUGAUUACGUCCCUGCCCUUUGUACACACCGCCCGUCGCUACUACCGAUUGAAUGGUUUAGUGAGAUCUCUGGAUUGACGCUGGCUAGGGGGCGACCCUUGGCCAGGCUGUCGAGAAACUGCUCAAACUUGAUCAUUGAGAGGAAGUAAAAGUCGUAACA
rnacentral:rRNA from 1 species